UACGUAGGGUGCAAGCGUUGUCCGGAAUUAUUGGGCGUAAAGAGCUCGUAGGCGGUCUGUCGCGUCGGCUGUGAAAACCCGGGGCUCAACCCCGGGCCUGCAGUCGAUACGGGCAGACUGGAGUUCGGCAGGGGAGACUGGAAUUCCUGGUGUAGCGGUGAAAUGCGCAGAUAUCAGGAGGAACACCGGUGGCGAAGGCGGGUCUCUGGGCCGAUACUGACGCUGAGGAGCGAAAGCGUGGGGAGCGAACAGG
rnacentral:rRNA from 1 species